CUGUUUGAUCCUGGCUCAGGACGAACGCUGGCGGCGUGCUUAACACAUGCAAGUCGAACGGUGAACUCCGCUUGCGGGGGGAUCAGUGGCGAACGGGUGAGUAACACGUGGGCAACCUGCCCUCAGCUCUGGGAUAACUCCAAGAAAUUGGGGCUAAUACUGGAUAUGACUGCUGACCGCAUGGUCUGGUGGUGGAAAGAUUUAUCGGCUGGGGAUGGGCCCGCGGCCUAUCAGCUUGUUGGUGGGGUAGUGGCCUACCAAGGCGACGACGGGUAGCCGGCCUGAGAGGGUGACCGGCCACACUGGGACUGAGACACGGCCCAGACUCCUACGGGAGGCAGCAGUGGGGAAUAUUGCGCAAUGGGCGAAAGCCUGACGCAGCGACGCCGCGUGGGGGAUGACGGCCUUCGGGUUGUAAACCUCUUUCACCCAUGACGAAGCGUAAGUGACGGUAGUGGGAGAAGAAGCACCGGCCAACUACGUGCCAGCAGCCGCGGUAAUACGUAGGGUGCAAGCGUUGUCCGGAAUUAUUGGGCGUAAAGAGCUCGUAGGCGGUUUGUUGCGUCGGCUGUGAAAACCUGAGGCUCAACCUCAGGCCUGCAGUCGAUACGAGCAGACUAGAGUGUUGCAGGGGAGACUGGAAUUCCUGGUGUAGCGGUGAAAUGCGCAGAUAUCAGGAGGAACACCGGUGGCGAAGGCGGGUCUCUGGGCAGCAACUGACGCUGAGGAGCGAAAGCGUGGGGAGCGAACAGGAUUAGAUACCCUGGUAGUCCACGCCGUAAACG
rnacentral:rRNA from 1 species